rnacentral:rRNA from 1 species
UACGGAGGGGGCUAGCGUUGUUCGGAAUUACUGGGCGUAAAGCGCGCGUAGGCGGCUUUGUAAGUUAGAGGUGAAAGCCCGGAGCUCAACUCCGGAACUGCCUUUAAGACUGCAUCGCUAGAACGUCGGAGAGGUAAGUGGAAUUCCGAGUGUAGAGGUGAAAUUCGUAGAUAUUCGGAAGAACACCAGUGGCGAAGGCGACUUACUGGACGACUGUUGACGCUGAGGUGCGAAAGCGUGGGGAGCGAACGGG